rnacentral:ncRNA from 2 species
ACAAACCUUCAGGACAGGGUGAAAUUCCCGACCGGCGGUGAUGGAGCCAAUUCUCCUCAGUCCGCGACCCGGAUGCAAAAUGGCGAGCAUCCGGCUGACCCGGUGAAAUUCCGUGACCGACAGUAUAGUCUGGAUGGGAGAAGGGAGAA